rnacentral:tRNA from 1 species
UACAUUUUAGUAUAUGAGGUAUAUAAGCUUUUGAUGCUUGAGGGGUUAGUUUAAUUCUAUCAAAUGUAG